ACAUACUGGUGAAUAAUUCUGGUAUUGAGAAGCUACAGAUUAACAGUAGUGCUUUUGGUGAUGAGGGAGCUAAAGCUAUUGCUGAGAUGUUGAAAAAAAAUUCAAGCUUGCGUGUUCUUGAACUCAAUAACAAUUUGAUUGACUACUCUGGAUUUUCAGGGCUUGCUGGAGCGCUUCUAGAGAAUAAAAGUAUACUAUCCAUACAUCUCAAUGGAAACUAUGGUGGUGCUCUUGGGGCAGCUGCUCUGGCAAAAGGGCUGGAAGGAAACAAAUAUUUGCGGUCAAACAUGUAAAGGAAGAAAAGCACAAACUCAACUAGCCAACUCGUUGUUUCAAGCUUGCAUGCCAAGAAUGGAUUGAUAAUCAGUUGAGAAAGGUUCACUUGUUCAUUCAAUAUAAAAAAGUCAAACCCUACAUUCAAUAUAAAAAGUGCUUAUAAAGGAUAAAACUCUAUGAUUAAUAAUAGGACCGAUUUGCUCUUUAUCAAUUAGAUUCGAAUGUCAAUAAAAUAAGCCUUUAAGAAAAUAAUUAAAGCAAGUAAUAAAGCUGGAACCUAGAAACCAGAGGUAGUCUUGUCUGGAAUCAUUGAGCCGAGCCCUCCACUGUUGUUCAUGUACGUUGCCUGCAAAUAAUUCAUUCUGAAGCCUGUGCUCCAUCCCAAAUGAACAUAGUUAUCCAAAUUAACAUGUUGAGGAAUGUUUUGACUCCACAAAGAAGAUGUUUUGGAAAAUGUUACAACUCGUGUUUUAUGUUUCUUGUUCCUGUAG